AGAGUUUGAUCCUGGCUCAGAUUGAACGCUGGCGGCAGGCCUAACACAUGCAAGUCGAGCGGCAGCACAAGGGAGUUUACUCCUGAGGUGGCGAGCGGCGGACGGGUGAGUAAUGCCUAGGGAUCUGCCCAGUCGAGGGGGAUAACAGUUGGAAACGACUGCUAAUACCGCAUACGCCCUACGGGGGAAAGGAGGGGACCUUCGGGCCUUCCGCGAUUGGAUGAACCUAGGUGGGAUUAGCUAGUUGGUGAGGUAAUGGCUCACCAAGGCGACGAUCCCUAGCUGUUCUGAGAGGAUGAUCAGCCACACUGGGACUGAGACACGGCCCAGACUCCUACGGGAGGCAGCAGUGGGGAAUAUUGCACAAUGGGGGAAACCCUGAUGCAGCCAUGCCGCGUGUGUGAAGAAGGCCUUCGGGUUGUAAAGCACUUUCAGUAGGGAGGAAAGGGUAAGUCUUAAUACGGCUUAUCUGUGACGUUACCUACAGAAGAAGGACCGGCUAACUCCGUGCCAGCAGCCGCGGUAAUACGGAGGGUCCGAGCGUUAAUCGGAAUUACUGGGCGUAAAGCGUGCGCAGGCGGUUUGUUAAGCGAGAUGUGAAAGCCCUGGGGCUCAA
rnacentral:rRNA from 1 species